rnacentral:rRNA from 1 species
UACGUAGGGGCCUAGCGUUGUCCGGAUUUAUUGGGCGUAAAGAGCUCGUAGGCGGUUCGGCAAGUCAUGUGUGAAAUCUCCACGCUCAACGUGGAGGGGCCACCUGAUACUGCCGUGACUCGAGUCCGGUAGGGGAGUGUGGAAUUCCCGGUGUAGCGGUGAAAUGCGCAGAUAUCGGGAGGAACACCAGUAGCGAAGGCGGUUCUCUGGGACGGUACUGACGCUGAGACGCGAAAGCGUGGGGAGCGAACAGG